rfam:Selaginella moellendorffii unplaced genomic scaffold SELMOscaffold_103, whole genome shotgun sequence.
AAAGCCGGGCUACGGUGCCAAAGUGCGCGCUAACCCAGAUCCCACAAAGGGUGUUGAUUGAUUAAGACAGCAGGACGGUGGUCAUGGAAGUCGAAAUCCGCUAAGGAGUGUGUAACAACUCACCUGCCGAAUCAACUAGCCCCGAAAAUGGAUGGCGCUUAAGCGCGCGGCCUAUGCCCGGCCAUCACGGCGAUUGCGAGGCCCCGAUG